AUUGAACGCUGGCGGCAGGCUUAACACAUGCAAGUCGAACGAGUGGCGGACGGGUGAGUAAUGUCUGGGAAACUGCCUGAUGGAGGGGGAUAACUACUGGAAACGGUAGCUAAUACCGCAUACCAUCAGAUGUGCCCAGAUGGGAUUAGCUAGUUGGUGGGGUAACGGCUUACCAAGGCGACGAUACCUAGCUGGUCUGAGAGGGUGACCGGCCACACUGGAACUGAGACACGGUCCAGACUCCUACGGGAGGCAGCAGUGGGGAAUCUUGCACAAUGGGCGAAAGCCUGAUGCAGCAAUGCCGCGGGUAUGAAGAAGGUCUUCGGGUCGUAAAGUACUUUUAGUGGGGAGGCGUUACCCGCUGAGGAAGCACCGGCUAACUACGUGCCAGCAGCCGCGGUAAUAC
rnacentral:rRNA from 1 species